rnacentral:lncRNA from 1 species
CUUUCGCCCUUCCUUGCAGCCGAAGCAACACCAUCCACAGCUAUGUUUUGCGUCUGAGUUUCUUGGGAUGUCGUCAACUGGAUACCCUAAUUGCUGGCACCCUUUCCUCAACACAGCAUUGUUGAGUCCUUCCACCACAUCGACUUUGGUAUGAACUCCCAUCCUCUGGCAAACAACCUCCAUUGCUUCUCUAUACGUCUUGCUCUCAAACAGCUCCAGUUGGUAUUCAUGGCUCCACUCUUUGGUAACCUUGUGUGGAGUUUUGAUGGAGGCGGACCAGUUGAUAGCCGAGCCUCCUCCCACUGUCGAGCCAGCGAGGACUACGAAGCUCAUGUCGUUGGUGGCUCGGAGGCCUCCCGAGAGGUACAUUUGGUCCAUGGAAGGGCCUUCGAGUAAUGAGAGGUUGUUUCUGGCAAAGUAACUUCCUUUCUCCAGGACGAGCACUUUGUAUCCGGCGUUUGCUAGCAUUCCUGCAACCACGCCACCACCCGAGCCGGAGCCGACUACUACAGCAUCGCAUUUGAUGUUGAUCGUUCCGGUAGUGGUGGCGGAGACUUGGAAUCCUGAUUUUUGUAGGGAGUCUGUGACUGUGUUCGUUGGGAGAUUUGUGUUGAUGAUCCCUCUGUGGAGUGGUCCGUAGGGAUGUUCUUUGGUGGUGGUGAUAUUAGCAGCUGCUGCGAGAAGUUCGUUUGAAGGAUGUUGUUGUUCUGGUUUGUAUGCAGGGUCCGACCCCGGAUAACCAAUUGCCUCCCAUGUCGGAUUCUCAAUCUUCUCGUCAACCUGGUAAGUACGUGGAUUAAAGAGAUGAAUAUCAUCAAUAAUUUCUGGAGAAAUAUAGUUUCAUGGUAAUAAUUGCUGAAGAGAAAACUAUAUAUACUUGAAACAAGAGCAAUUUCCUUGAAUGUUAAAUGAGAUAUUCAUAUUGUUCCAACAUUCAAAAUGCAGCUAUGAUUAAACAACUUGUCCGUCCCAUCUGUCAAAGAUAUUCUGGACUAAGAAAAUAACUUUCCAGUGGGUAGUUCAACAACAUUGAUGUCGUCUUCUAUGAAGUCCCCCAAAGACAAUAGCGGCCUGGUCCAGAACGUUUUAAUGUACUAGACCAAAUUGUAUACGGGUUGUGGGUCAUAGCCUAGGAGAGACUCUCUUGAAUCCACCACUAUCCACCGAUAAUAGAGUUCGUCCACCAUUAUAGAUGAUUAUGAGUGCAAGUAACUAUAUUUACCAGCUAGAUUGAUUAUCUUAUCCAUCUAAGUAAUGAAUGUGCUAGGUAAGGUAGACAGAUAGAUAGAUAGAUAGAUAAUAAUGGCUAAUUAUAAUGGUUAGUGAAUCCUAGCUAAUUACCUAACAUAUGGACAGCCGUCCAGAAAGAAUUGAUAAAGACAAUCUAGCUACUAUUUCCUUUUAUAAGUAUGCAUGACAACACAACCCCAUGCAUGAACAGGUAAUUAAUUAAGCAAUUCUGAAGUGGAUGUACCUGGGAGAAGAAGAUAAGUGGAAUGAGGAGUUUGAAAGCCUUGAAGAGCAUCCUGAGGUGGAAGAAGAUGCUCUGAGACCAUGAGAGGACGAUUUGUUCCCUUGUCUCAAGAGGG